GACGAACGCUAGCGGCAGGCCUAAUACAUGCAAGUCGAACGGUGUAGCAAUACACAGUGGCGCACGGGUGCGUAACACGUAUGCAACCUACCUUACAUUGGGGGAUAGCCUUUCGAAAGGGAGAUUAAUACCGCAUAAGACAGUAACUGGGCAUCCAGUAGCUGUUAAAGAUUUAUCGAUGUAAGCUGGGCAUGCGUCCAAUUAGUUAGUUGGCGAGGUAAUGGCUCACCAAGACGAUGAUUGGUAGGGGAACUGAGAGGUCAAUCCCCCACACUGGCACUGAGAUACGGGCCAGACUCCUACGGGAGGCAGCAGUAGGGAAUAUUGGGCAAUGGGCGCAAGCCUGACCCAGCCAUGCCGCGUGCAGGAAGAAGGCGUUAUGCGUUGUAAACUGCUUUUAUACAGGAAGAAACGACCCUUGCGAGGGGCAUUGACGGUACUGUAUGAAUAAGCACCGGCUAACUCCGUGCCAGCAGCCGCGGUAACAC
rnacentral:rRNA from 1 species